GAACGAGGUAGAUGAAGAGGUCUGGAAAGGCCCGCCAUAGGAGGUAACAGCCCUGUAGUCAAAACUUCGUUCUCUCCUGAGUGGAUCCUGAGUACGGCGGAACACGUGAAAUUCCGUCGGAAUCCGGGAGGACCAUCUCCCAAGGCUAAAUACUCCCUAGUGACCGAUAGUGAACCAGUACCGUGAGGGAAAGGUGAAAAGCACCCCGGAAGGGGAGUGAAAGAGAUCCUGAAACCGUGUGCCUACAAGUAGUCAGAGCCCGUUAACGGGUGAUGGCGUGCCUUUUGUAGAAUGAACCGGCGAGUUACGAUCCCGUGCAAGGUUAAGUUUGAAAAGACGGAGCCGCAGCGAAAGCGAGUCUGAAUAGGGCGCAUGAGUACGUGGUCGUAGACCCGAAACCAGGUGAUCUACCCAUGUCCAGGGUGAAGUUCAGGUAACACUGAAUGGAGGCCCGAACCCACGCACGUUGAAAAGUGCGGGGAUGAGGUGUGGGUAGGGGUGAAAUGCCAAUCGAACCUGGAGAUAGCUGGUUCUCUCCGAAAUAGCUUUAGGGCUAGCCUCAAGGUAAGAGUCUUGGAGGUAGAGCACUGAUUGGACUAGGGGCCCCUACCGGGUUACCGAAUUCAGUCAAACUCCGAAUGCCAAAGACUUAUCCUUGGGAGUCAGACUGCGAGUGAUAAGAUCCGUAGUCGAAAGGGAAACAGCCCAGACCGCCAGCUAAGGUCCCAAAGUAUACGUUAAGUGGAAAAGGAUGUGGAGUUGCUUAGACAACCAGGAUGUUGGCUUAGAAGCAGCCACCAUUUAAAGAGUGCGUAAUAGCUCACUGGUCGAGUGACUCUGCGCCGAAAAUGUACCGGGGCUAAACGUAUCACCGAAGCUGCGGACUGUUCUUGCGAACAGUGGUAGGAGAGCGUUCUAAGGGCUGUGAAGCGAGACCGGAAGGACUCGUGGAGCGCUUAGAAGUGAGAAUGCCGGUAUGAGUAGCGAAAGAGGGGUGAGAAUCCCCUCCACCGAAUGCCUAAGGUUUCCUGAGGAAGGCUCGUCCGCUCAGGGUUAGUCGGGACCUAAGCCGAGGCCGAAAGGCGUAGGCGAUGGACAACAGGUUGAUAUUCCUGUACCACCUCCUCACCAUUUGAGCAAUGGGGGG
rnacentral:rRNA from 1 species